rnacentral:piRNA from 1 species
UGGAGGUCCAGUUCUCUCUGAAGACA